CUCUAGAAACUUUCUGCUCCGCGGCCAAUCAGCGCGCUUGAAACAUGCGUCGCGCGACAAAUGCAAUACCAGUCUCGAACGACGCGCGGAGAGAACAGGAUCGACGUACACGUAAGUCGUUCUCGAUCCCGGGUAUCCCGGAUACCCGGGGCGAUCUAUCCGCGUCUCCGGGUCCGCGCGGCAGACACCCUGAAAAGCGAUCGGGUGAGGAAAAGUUUCCGUUUAUCGCGAAAUCCCCGAGUCGGUUCGCGCGGCCGAUUUCCCUCCCGAUAAAUCAAGAGAGACGUUCCCGGGCCACCCGCCGGGACGGCCGCUUUCGCGGGUGAAGAAGGGGAGGCGUCAGUUCUCGCGGGAAGAUGCACUUUGCGCGACGGACGCCGUAAGGACCCCGGCGGGGCGGCCGAGAUCGGCGCGCACUUUUCCGGCGCGAAGGUGAGGAGUAGGAGAGGAGGAGCAGCUGUUUCCAGGCUGAACGGAGCAGCGGCGGCGGCGGACGGGCGGACCAGCGGCGAACUUCAGUCUGGUUGCGACCGUCGCGCGGUGAGGUUGUAUCGUCCGCUGCCGAGUCGAUUCGUGGCCGCCACGUGCAUCCGCGCGCCUCAUCCCGGUUCCUUCUCUUGGCCGAUCGGCGCGUCUGAAUUUCCGGCGCGGCCGCCGGAUCGAGUUCCGCGUGUCGAGGGCGAGAGGAGAGCCCGGCGCCGAGUACGAGCUCGCCGUCGGGGGGACAGCAGCGUUGCCGAUGAAAGUCCGAGAUCGCUGGCUGGAUCUUCUCUGCGUAUAAUCACAACCAUGGUAUGACACUUGAUUGAGGUAGCCAGUCCAUAAACGACCACCAACCGCUGCCGCCGCCAUGAGCAAGCUAUUUCAAUUUCUGGCCCUCCUCCUGUUGGGUGUCAAUGCCAGACGGACCGACGGAGACAGACCUGCGGAUGACGCGUACGCCGGCCAGCAGCGUCGCGGCUCCCUCCACAAGUCGAAUUACAACAGCAAUAAUAAUUACAAUCAUCAACCGAACUCGCCCUAUUUGCCGCACCAGCAGCCCAGGGAGCGGAAGCCCAACAUUGUGCUGAUUCUGACGGAUGAUCAAGACGUUGAGCUGGGUUCGCUGAACUUCAUGCCGCGGACUCUGAAGCGAAUAAGGGACGAGGGCGCCGAGCUGAGACACGCGUACGUGACCACUCCCAUGUGCUGUCCGAGCAGGAGCUCUUUGCUCACCGGUCGUUACGUUCACAAUCACGAGGUCUUCACGAACAACGACAACUGCAGCAGUCCCCAGUGGCAACGAGACCACGAGCCGCACUCCUUCGCCGCUUAUUUGAGCAACGCGGGAUAUCGGACAGGGUACUUCGGCAAGUAUCUGAACAAAUACAACGGCUCGUACAUACCGCCGGGCUGGCGGGAAUGGGGCGGCCUUAUAAUGAACUCCCGCUACUACAACUACAGCGUCAACAUGAAUGGCAAGAAGAUAAAGCACGGCUUCGACUACGGCCGGGACUAUUAUCCGGAUCUGAUAGCCAACGACAGCGUGGCUUUCCUCAGGCAGAGCAAACACAAUUUCGCCCGGAAGCCGGUAAUGCUAGUCGCGAGCUUCCCGGCGCCGCACGGCCCGGAGGACUCGGCGCCGCAGUUCUCGCAUCUCUUCUUCAACGUCACCACUCAUCACACGCCAGCAUAUGAUUACGCACCGAACCCCGACAAACAAUGGAUACUCCAAGUUACGCAGAAGAUGCAGCCGAUUCACAAACAGUUCACAGAUCUCUUAAUGACAAAACGACUGCAGACGUUGCAAAGUGUCGAUGCUGCUGUAGACAGGAUUUACCAAGAAUUAAAGGAUCUGGGUGAACUGGAUAAUACGUAUAUUAUUUAUACGUCCGAUCACGGAUAUCACUUGGGGCAAUUCGGACUUAUAAAAGGCAAGAGCUUCCCGUUCGAGUUCGAUGUACGAGUGCCAUUCCUUAUUAGAGGUCCUGGCAUCGAACCUGGAUCCAUAGUAGACGACAUAGUUUUGAACAUCGAUCUGGCGCCGACGUUCCUGGAUAUCGCCGGCGUCGAAACGCCACCACAGAUGGAUGGUCGUUCCUUCAAGAAACUCUUUCUCAACAGCAAGCACGGCAGAAGGUCGAAGUUCAAGUGGCCCGACACAUUCCUGAUCGAGUCCUCCGGCCGCCGUGAGACUCCGGAAUCUAUCGCUGAAUCGAAGGCGCGAGAAGCCAGGAGGCAAAACGCCACCCAGGCCAAACGGCCGUCGAGCUCGACGCCGGAGGAGGAGGAGGAUGAUACCGUCGAUCCAGACACGGACACCGAAACGGAGCAUCGAUUUACGGAAAACGAUACCGGAAGCGAUCAGGACAUCUCGGACGACGAGGAUUUCGAGGACUCGAUGAUCGACGAAGCGAGCUCAGAUCCACAUCUCGACAACAGGGUGCAUCCGAUGCACGCGCCCUUCGCGACGAAGCACGAGCGUCUCGCGGCGGAGUGCUCGCGACCGGAAGCGCAGACCGAUUGUCUCCCCGGGCAGAAGUGGCGAUGCGAGAAGGACGGGCACCGCUGGCGACGGCACAAGUGCAGGUACGCGGCGCCCCCGCCGCCGCCGCAGAGGGUGUCCAAGAAGUGUGCUUGUUUCACCCCUAACGGCGUGAUCUACACGAGGCUCGAGUCCAACGAUUACGACGGGCAGAGAUACGGUUUCACGAGGGACCGCCGGCCUGUGGAUCCUUACGACGACACGGCGGGAUACUUCGCCAGACGAGGCAAGCGAGAAGUAUCGAGUGAUAUCGUAUCAACCGAGGAAAGUAGUGAGGAAUCUGAUAACGACGUCGACGUGGAUGACAGAGACAGACGUGCGAUCGACGAGGAAGACGACGAUAACGCGAUGCAGGAGUUAGAUAUGCCGGCGCAGGAGGUGAACGGAGAAUAUAGGAAAGUUUUCGAAAGAAACGGCAGUAAGACGAGACUCGAGAACGCUGGUGACGAUGAAGCUGACGAACUGGACAAAUACAUUGUCGACUACUUGGAUUACGGCUAUUCGAUAAACGACUUUGAUCCCACUUUAGAUAAGAUUGUUAAAGGUCGAUUAAAUGUAGACGAUGUAAUAAAAAGGCAUCGGAGAGUGCGGAGAAGUGUCAAGAAAGAAGAUACCUUAGAUCACGUGACGAAGAUUAUGGAAAGCAUAGAGGAGGAGCUAGAUGACUUGAAGCAAGUUCGUCACUUGUCGCCCGACAUGGGAAAGUCACUGUCGCCAAAAUGCUUGGUGUUACCGGAAGGGGGUGUAAAUUGCACUCAAGCUAUAUAUCAAGAUCCUAACGAGUGGCGAAUAUCUAGACGGGAGAUUGAGCAGCAAAUCCGAGAGAUGCGAAUGCAACUGGAAACGUUGAAAGAGAUCCGCCGGCAUUUAAUGAUCAAACGGCCACAAUUUCUGGAUAACGAGGAGAAACUUGCUGACGCAGAGGAAACUCGCAAUUCGCACAAAACUCACCAUCAUCCACCAAAGGGACACGCGAGCCGCCAUCAUAAAAAGCACGAUAAAAUUACCCAUACUACUGCAGAUUUUAUCAUGAACACAACUACGGAGUCUGUUACGGGAAUUAAUACAACUCCGAGGGAUGAAAAAGUGUCGACGACGGACGAGAAACCUGAUAAAUACGGUACAACUCCUAUCGAAACUUCCACCACGGAGACCGUCGGCGAAACGCCAGAAACAACGACAGUCCUGACGACAGUUAAGCCGAAGAAAUCGCCUCGCCGCCAGAAAACUAAGGAAACAUCUACAAACCGAACGGAAAUCGAAGAGGAUAAGCCGCAGAGGCGUAGGAAAACGCAUCACCAUCGUAGAAACAAUACGCUGCUAACGAAUAGCGUACACGACGAUGUCCCGCACACGAAUAUAACGUACAUCACCAGCGAUGUGACAUUGUCUACGCAAAAUCCUACGACUCGCGAGAGACACAAUUACAGUCAUCACAAAUUUACGACUGUUUCCGCUACCACAGAAGCGAGCAGUACGAGGCAAGAAACUCAGUAUUCAGGAGUUUUCAGAAGUAAUAACGAUUUCAACGAAGAUCGUACUAUGGAGUCGAUUGCGGUUACUGAGUCCGGAACUACUGUAGCAAUGACUUCGACGCGUAUGACGGAAGUGCCAAGGACUAACCCGGCUAUCGAUAAAAGUUUCGAUCAACCUCGAAAUACGUCCGUCACAUCACCGACGACUAUGCCGUCGGUGAAGAGAUAUCCCAAAGUGCAGAAGAACAGAACAUCAGGUAUUCUUGGACCAGCGAGAAUCGACGUUACCAUUCUCGAAUCUCCCGAUAGAAAGCACAAACAAGGAUUAACCGCAUCUAGUAACAACGGUCGUCUGCCGUCGAUGCUAAACACUUCGGUAGAAACGCGACACAAAUGCUAUUGCGAGCCGGACGCAAAAAAAGACGAAAAGGAGAUCGCUAGGGAGGAGAGGCGGAGAUUGAAGGAGGAGCGUUUAAGGAAGAAGGAGAGAAAACUCAGGAAGAAAGCCAAGCUGGAAAAGGAGUGCCUGACGGAAAAAAUGAACUGCUUCGAGCACGAUAACGAUCACUGGCGUACCGCACCCCUGUGGAAUGCCGGACCAUUUUGCUUUUGCAUGAAUGCUAAUAAUAACACAUAUUCGUGCCUACGUACAAUUAACAAGACGCACGAUUUCCUUUACUGCGAGUUUACCACAGGAUUAGUGACGUAUUACAAUUUAAGACUCGAUCCAUUUGAACAGUGGAAUAGAGCGUCAUCUCUGACUCCCACCGAAAGAUCGUAUCUGCAUGAUCAGUUGGAGCACUUGAAGGGAUGCAAAGGUACAUGGGACUGUACGGUCGGUAGCGCUAGGGAGGCCAUGCCGCAACUGCAGCAACAUCAACGAUAUAUUUCCAAGAGAAAAUACAAUGAUGCAUUCGCAGAAGACAUGUUUGUACCUUCAACGUUACAAAUUAUACGUGAGAGCGAACUUGGCAGUCCACCCAAUAAAAGGCGAAAGAAGUUACAGAAUUGGAACAGGCGCAAUAGAAGCUGGCAAAGCAGCUGGCGACAUCAUCAAGAUUCAGUAAAUCCCCGACGUCAUAGUAAUAGACAUCAAUACUGAUCCGUCUUCUUUUCUUUUACGCUUCAACAAUUGCGUGACAAAUUGUCUUAGAUAUGCAUCGAAACUGAUUGCAUUUAUUUAAAAGUUAAUAAAUUAAAUUUGACAAUUACUUUCUUCACUAUUAACAUGUCGAUAUCAACCAAUGUCAAUAUACAUUUUAGCUGAAAAUUUUCUUACUACUGAGAAGUUUUAUCAGCAUAUUAUCACUGAAAUCAGCUGUGUAAUAGAAGACUGAACGCACAACGAAAAGAACAACUUUAUCUUCCCUUGCCAAUUGCAAUCUUUCUGCAAUAUAUUAUUUGUGUAACAAUCAGAAAUGUUUGUCAAACGCUGCCAUUUUUUUAACUCUCCUAUUAUCUUUCUAUGACUAAAUGUACACGUGUCCUUACGUAAUGCACUGCCAAAACAUUUAUAAGCAUCAUUCUUUAUAUAUCUUGUUAUCGACUCUAAAGCAAAGAAAUGAUCUAAACAUUGAUUGAAUUUUUUAAAUUGUUCAAAUCUAUUACUGUAAUUAUAAUAUUUUUAUUUGGUACUUUAACUUUUUUAAUCUAACAAUAAAUAUUAUAUUUGUCGCCAUAUUUUUUUAGCACAGCUGUUUUAGUAUAGCAGAAUAAUUAUUGGUAAUGCAUAUAAUACAUAUUGAGGAAAGAUAGAAUGCUGGCAUACAUUAAUACAACUAGUAAGAAAUAAAGAUAAACAUGAUAUAUGUACGAUACAAUUUAACAUAUACUGUUCUUAUACUUGGAUUGCUACAUAAUUGUUUUUAAUUAUUUACAUUUUUAUGAUUGCAUGGAUCCGUUUGCUGUAGUUUACGAAUUUAUAUUAUUUGUUGUAGAUUAGAAUUUAAGAAUUGAUGUGGCAACAGUCGAUCUUGCAACCAGCAUUCUGUCUUUCCUGAAGGCCUCUGCAUCAUAUACUAAACUGUUAUUCACUUAUUUUUAUCGAUAAAGAAAUGUAACAAAAGGAAACAAUGUAUUUAAGUCUAGAAUUUAGAAGAAAAACAUUUUAUCUCUGCGAUAUUACUCUCUUUACAUAGAAAAUAUUAAAUUAAAAAAAUAUUAGUUACCACAAAAACACAUGUGUAUGUACAUAGAUAACG